GACCGGGUGGCUCAAAUGGUAGAGUGCUCGCCUCCGGUGCAGUGGAUCGUGGGUUCAUUUCCCAGCCGGGUCA
rnacentral:tRNA from 1 species